AUUGAACGCUGGCGGCAUGCCUUACACAUGCAAGUCGAACGGCAGCAUGAUCUAGCUUGCUAGAUUGAUGGCGAGUGGCGAACGGGUGAGUAAUACAUCUGAACGUGCCCUGUAGUGGGGGAUAACUAGUCGAAAGAUUAACUAAUACCGCAUACGACCUGAAGGUGAAAGUGGGGGACCGCAAGGCCUCAUGCUAUAUGAGCGGCCGAUGUCUGAUUAGCUAGUUGGUGAGGUAAAGGCUCACCAAGGCGACGAUCAGUAGCUGGUCUGAGAGGACGAUCAGCCACACUGGGACUGAGACACGGUCCAGACUCCUACGGGAGGCAGCAGUGGGGAAUUUUGGACAAUGGGCGAAAGCCUGAUCCAGCAAUGCCGCGUGUGUGAAGAAGGCCUUCGGGUUGUAAAGCACUUUUGUCCGGAAAGAAAUGGCUCUGGUUAAUACCUGGGGUCGAUGACGGUACCGGAAGAAUAAGGACCGGCUAACUACGUG
rnacentral:rRNA from 1 species